GGGUCGCGUAGCGCACCGCGGUGGCGCGCUCGGCCUGAAGUGCCGCGACGGCGGCGGCGACGGGUUCCCUGACCUGGGUGUCCAC
rnacentral:tRNA from 1 species